UACGAAGGGUGCAAGCGUCACUCGGAAUUACUGGGCGUAAAGGGUGCGUAGGCGGUCGGGUAAGUCUGAUGUGAAAUCUCACAGCUUAACUGUGAAACUGCAUUGGAUACUAUCCGGCUCGAGGAAUGGAGGGGAGACUGGAAUACUUGGUGUAGCAGUGAAAUGCGUAGAUAUCAAGUGGAACACCAGUGGUGAAGGCGAGUCUCUGGACAUUUCCUGACGCUGAGGCACGAAAGCCAGGGGAGCAAACGGG
rnacentral:rRNA from 1 species